GACGAACCGUCCGAACGUUAUUCGGUAUCACUGGGCUUAAAGAGUUCGUAGGCGGCCAUGUAGGUGAGAUGUGAAAUCCCACGGCUCAACCGUGGAACUGCGUUUCAAACCACAUGGCUUGAGGGAGAUAGAGGUGAGCGGAACAGAUGGUGGAGCGGUGAAAUGCGUUGAUAUCAUCUGGAACACCGGUGGCGAAAGCGGCUCACUGGAUCUCUUCUGACGCUGAGGAACGAAAGCUAGGGUAGCGAACGGG
rnacentral:rRNA from 1 species